CCGCCAUUAGCUCAUCAGGAUAGAGCGCCAUCCUGCGAAGCUGGUUGCGCGGGGUUCGAGUCCUCGAUGGCGGUCCA
rnacentral:tRNA from 3 species